GCUUGCUUCUCCUUGAGAAGCGGCGGACGGGUGAGUAAUGCCUAGGAAUCUGCCUGGUAGUGGGGGAUAACGUUCGGAAACGGACGCUAAUACCGCAUACGUCCUACGGGAGAAAGCAGGGGACCUUCGGGCCUUGCGCUAUCAGAUGAGCCUAGGUCGGAUUAGCUAGUUGGUGAGGUAAUGGCUCACCAAGGCGACGAUCCGUAACUGGUCUGAGAGGAUGAUCAGUCACACUGGAACUGAGACACGGUCCAGACUCCUACGGGAGGCAGCAGUGGGGAAUAUUGGACAAUGGGCGAAAGCCUGAUCCAGCCAUGCCGCGUGUGUGAAGAAGGUCUUCGGAUUGUAAAGCACUUUAAGUUGGGAGGAAGGGUUGUAGAUUAAUACUCUGCAAUUUUGACGUUACCGACAGAAUAAGCACCGGCUAACUCUGUGCCAGCAGCCGCGGUAAUACAGAGGGUGCAAGCGUUAAUCGGAAUUACUGGGCGUAAAGCGCGCGUAGGUGGUUCGUUAAGUUGGAUGUGAAAGCCCCGGGCUCAACCUGGGAACUGCAUUCAAAACUGACGAGCUAGAGUAUGGUAGAGGGUGGUGGAAUUUCCUGUGUAGCGGUGAAAUGCGUAGAUAUAGGAAGGAACACCAGUGGCGAAGGCGACCACCUGGACUGAUACUGACACUGAGGUGCGAAAGCGUGGGGAGCAAACAGGAUUAGAUACCCUGGUAGUCCACGCCGUAAACGAUGUCAACUAGCCGUUGGAAUCCUUGAGAUUUUAGUGGCGCAGCUAACGCAUUAAGUUGACCGCCUGGGG
rnacentral:rRNA from 1 species